rnacentral:rRNA from 1 species
GACGAACGCUGGCGGCGUGCUUAACACAUGCAAGUCGAACGGAAAGGCCCUGCUUGUGUGGGGUGCUCGAGUGGCGAACGGGUGAGUAACACGGGAGUAACCUGCCCUUGACUUUGGGAUAACUGCAGGAAACUGGGGCUAAUACCGGAUAGGAGCUCCUGCUGCAUGGGGGGGGUUGGAAAGUUUCGGCGGUUGGGGAUGGACUCGCGGCUUAUCAGCUUGUUGGUGGGGUAGUGGCUUACCAAGGCUUUGACGGGUAGCCGGCCUGAGAGGGUGACCGGCCACAUUGGGACUGAGAUACGGCCCAGACUCCUACGGGAGGCAGCAGUGGGGAAUAUUGCACAAUGGGCGGAAGCCUGAUGCAGCAACGCCGCGUGCGGGAUGACGGCCUUCGGGUUGUAAACCGCUUUCGCCUGUGACGAAGCGUGAGUGACGGUAAUGGGUAAAGAAGCACCGGCUAACUACGUG